UACGGGGGGGGCAAGCGUUGUUCGGAAUUACUGGGCGUAAAGGGCUCGUAGGUGGCCAACUAAGUCAGACGUGAAAUCCCUCGGCUUAACCGGGGAACUGCGUCUGAUACUGGAUGGCUUGAGUUUGGGAGAGGGAUGCGGAAUUCCAGGUGUAGCGGUGAAAUGCGUAGAUAUCUGGAGGAACACCGGUGGCGAAGGCGGCGAUCCUGGACCAACACUGACGCUGAGUGAGCGAAAGCCAGGGGAGCAAACGGGG
rnacentral:rRNA from 1 species